UACGUAGGGGGCAAGCGUUGUCCGGAUUUAUUGGGCGUAAAGCGCUCGCAGGUGGUUCGUCGCGUCGUGCGUGAAAGACCCCGGCUCAACUGGGGGAGGUCGUGCGAUACGGGCGGACUGGAGGCCAGUAGGGGGAUGCGGAAUUCCGGGUGUAGUGGUGGAAUGCGUAGAGAGUCCGGAGGAACACCAGCGGCGAAGGCGGCAUCCUGGACUGGUCCGUGACACUCGGUGAGCGAAAGCGUGGGGAGCGAGUCCGGAUUGAGAA
rnacentral:rRNA from 1 species